UUGAAACAGGGGUUCAAUGACAUCUGUCUAAAGAGCUCCUUGCUAAUACUAAUAAUUUGAGGAAGCAAAUGAACUUCCUGAAUGGUGUAAAAUGCACUCACAAAAUUUGCUCCCUUGAUCAGGUGGUGCCCAGUUCACCUGUCUGGGUGCAUGUUCACGUUUGCAUUUCUGGCAGAUCUUUCCACCAUGUAAUCUGAAGGGCCUGUCCAUAAACCACAUGCAGACCUUAGAGCCUGUGUUCCUCAGAACAGGAAACAUAACUUUCUGAGGAGCUGCAGUGCAGUGUCUUUGAGCACAAGACUUCAACUCAAAGGAUGAGGCUUCUGAAAUUAAGGAAAAAAAAAAAAAGUAGUUAAGGAAUAAAAGAAAAUUUGCAGUGGUGCAGGAUUUAGGAGUUUGUUGGGAAGCACAAAGCUUUGCAUGCCAGGAAGUGCCGGCCAGCUCUCCAUGGCACAGUGCGGCGGGGCUUUGGAGCAAGGAUAAGCCAAGAGACAGGAAGGGCGGUAUCUCCCAGAGAUUACCAUGUAGGUAGGAUGAAAUCUCCUCAGGAUGAGGUCAGCCUACACAAACUCUAGACAUCUCUUCAAGCAAAUGUGUAUCAUUCGAUGCAGUUUCAAGCAGAGAAAACAAAUGCUGUGGGAUCAGGGAAGAUGUGUUGUCAUGACAUAAUACACAUACUAUACUGGACUCCCCAAAAGACUGGAGUGUCUAAGUUACAGACUGGUGGUCUGGCCCCGGGUGAAGCUGUUGUCCACUGAAAGCACUCCUCAGGACUCGGUGAAAGAGGAAAAUAGCCCAAGUCCUCCACCAGCAGCAGGAGGGCAGGAAACACCAUGGUGGCCACCUCCUUGGAAAUCUGGUAAGGGGUGGGAAGCUUCG
rnacentral:lncRNA from 1 species